UUUAUUUUGUUUACUUAUACUGCUUCUGCUGUUAUCACCAGGGCGAAUUUAACCGCAUGAGGUGGUUCGAAAAGGGUUGCUUCUUUGAUUUAGAAUAUGCAUGCAUAGAUAUACACAUGUUCAUGCAUAUAUCCACAUAUAUGUAUGUACAUAUAUAUAUAUGCAUAUAUAUUCAUAUUAAAUCGGCUGUCGUUACAAUUGGUCAAAAAAAUAGUUUUUUUUUCCUAAAUCAAUAUAUUUUUAAUAUAUUUUUUUUUUUAAUACGAAAUUUGCAAAAUAUUGCCUAUUGGCACCAGGAAUCAGUUUUUUUGCUCUCGUGAAAAGUUAUUGGAACACAUAACUGUUUUUGUUGGCGCAGCGACGAUAUGUAUGUAUGUAUGCAGAUAUGUAAAUGGCGGUUCGCUAUUCGCGUGACAAACUUGGAAAAACGACGUAAAUCAGUACAAAUUGUUAUUGUUUUUAUUAGAGUUUGAGUAACUCCUUUCAUUAUUUGGCUUUUAGUAACUUCAACGAAAGCUUAACUUAUUUUAUUCAUUUAAGUGCAGUUUUACAAAUCUUUUGUUAACUACCUUAUUUUAUUCCUUUGAUUGUACAUGUUAAACAAAAGCUUGUUUUAAAAAAAAUUUUUUUUAAAUUAUUUUAUUUCUGGUGGUCUUCUUGCAUGUUGUAGCAGAAGUUGGUUAUAAUAGAACUUAGGCAGGGAACUUCUGUUGUUAAUGGGAGCGACAAAGCCUCAGCCGCUUUGCUGUCAGCCAUCUCGUUUCCUUUUAUUCCGACAUGUCCUGGGAGCCACAAUAUUUUUAUUGUAGGGCCUUGAUAUUUAAGUACAUGCUGAAUUAAAUUGCUGUUUUUGGUAGAUGCAAGAUGUUUAACAACGCUUAAGCUAUCGGAACAUAUUAAAGCUUUGCGAUUUGUUGAUGCUGCGUGUUUGAUAGCCCGCUGUAUUGCCCACAAUUCUGCAUUGAAGAUACCUGUAUGCGGCGGUAACAACGCUUGAAUCAAGGUUUUGAACGAGUUCGUAGCCGUUUGUUCAAUUACAGCGUAACUAUUUCAUUUCAUUUCAUUUAAUAAUCAAUAAGCAAUGUGUUUACCGACUAUAUUACAAAUUUAUAAAACAGGAUAACGUAAAAAACUAUGUCAAAUUCAAUGGCACAUUUUGUCAAAUUAAUGGAAACGCUUGCCAUUCGGUGCCAUUGCCAUCUUUUGUUAAUCUAUGAUAAAAGUUUUAAUCACAGAAUGGCAACUCAGUGAAAACACCACAGUUUGUGCUUCGAAAUCAAUCAGUCAAUCAAAAUAUUGUCAAAUGGCAUCACAAAUCAAAUUGACAACCUGUUGAAAUUUUCCCGCAUUUUUUAAGAAUAAACAUACAAAGCAGCAGUGAGAUACUAAUUGUGCUAUUUUUGCAAUACAUUGGUAAGAGUUUGUUCUUUUAAUAAAAACUUUAUCUGCUGUUUGAAUUGCAAUACUGUAAUUACCAGUAAUGGAAGAAAGCUACGAAAUCAUCGCAUCUGCAUCCCAAGAUAGCAGACCAGCAAAGAAGGGAAUCCGGAAACUCGAAGCAAAAUGGACAAGCGCGGAGACGGAGAAAAGCGCUCUGGAAGGAGAUAGCUGGCGAAAUGAAGAUGGCACCGUCCGAAAUAAAAAACAAGUAGAACAGUUUGCGUUGCUCCUUCGGGACAACUUUAAACAAAAUGAAUUCAACAAAGAGUGGACAAGGAGCUUCUACCAAGCAACUACCACAAAUCUUCCAUUUGUUAAAGUUUCUAGAACCGACUUUGCGAUUGGAGGCACCAACAAUUUCAAAUUUGCAUAGACUUGGGUACUUUGGAUACCAUUGAAGAAAAUGAGAACACUCAGACACCAACUAUUGUCGCGAGACGACGCCGUAAUGACGAUUCGUCGUAUAUUAAAGUAGUAGAACGCGCUUUGGGGACCAUGGAGGAAGCUUCCAAGUCGGAUAUUUGGGAUGACAGCAGUUUCGUUACAGCAAAUGGACGCGAGUGGCACACGAAGUUCCCUACAUUAGCUGUCGAAUUUAAGGCGGAAGUAUAUAAACUUAUACUGAGAUUCCAAGAGAAGGAAACAGAAGCAGAAAUACAAUUUUUGUAAUGCUGUAGCUACACAUGCAUGUAUAUAAUUUCUUAUUAAUUCAACUUUCUUUCGAUAUUUUUUAUUUUUCCAUUCACUACUGAACUUAUACUCGUAAUUUCAUUUUGAUAAUAUUAUUUUUUCAAGUAAUGCAUAUUUAUAUGUACAUAUGUAUUUACAGACAAACAUAUGUACUUCCAAAAUAUGUGCAAGGAGUAGGAAAUAAAACACUCGCACUUCGGAUUUUGAAAGUAUAUUUACGGUCCUUAUAUUUCCUUUUUUUGUCGUUUGUGUUUUUAAAAAUAUUUCGUUUCAAUAUUGUGUGCAAGUAAAAGUACAUCAUUACGGCUGUCUUCUUAAACACAUUAAUUCAAAGCAUCAUUAUCUUGCAUUUCUAAAUCAUUGUAAAAGUAAAGUUCAAUAAGCGGA